CGCGGCCUAUCAGCUUGUUGGUGGGGUAGUGGCCUACCAAGGCGACGACGGGUAGCCGGCCUGAGAGGGUGACCGGCCACACUGGGACUGAGACACGGCCCAGACUCCUACGGGAGGCAGCAGUGGGGAAUAUUGCACAAUGGGCGAAAGCCUGAUGCAGCGACGCCGCGUGAGGGAUGACGGCCUUCGGGUUGUAAACCUCUUUCGCCAGGGACGAAGCGCAAGUGACGGUACCUGGAUAAGAAGCACCGGCUAACUACGUGCCAGCAGCCGCGGUAAUACGUAGGGUGCAAGCGUUGUCCGGAUUUAUUGGGCGUAAAGAGCUCGUAGGCGGUUUGUCGCGUCGGCUGUGAAAUCUGGAGGCUUAACCUUCAGCGUGCAGUCGAUACGGGCAGACUUGAGUUCGGUAGGGGAGACUGGAAUUCCUGGUGUAGCGGUGAAAUGCGCAGAUAUCAGGAGGAACACCGGUGGCGAAGGCGGGUCUCUGGGCCGAUACUGACGCUGAGGAGCGAAAGCGUGGGGAGCGAACAGGAUUAGAUACCCUGGUAGUCCACGCUGUAAACGGUGGGUGCUAGGUGUGGGCGACAUUCCACGUUGUCCGUGCCGUAGCUAACGCAUUAAGCACCCCGCCUGGGAGUACGGA
rnacentral:rRNA from 1 species